GGGGGCGCCGCGGCAAAGCCGCCACCAUUGCAGGGGGAGCUGCGGAAGCUGGUCUACUAGGCAGCCCUGGUGUCCUCUUGCAGGGCUCCGAGAGCUGCCUGAGUGGAGGAGCCCAGAGGAAGAAAAGAAGAAAGCUUGUAGGCUCGUGGGAGCACAUGCUGCAGACUGCCUGGAACAUCAGUUGUUGCACAUUUUAUGGAGUCUGAAGUAAAAUACAAUCAAAUCUCUUCAGGGAAGACAUCAGACCCAGAAGGUGCUGGCUUUGACGGCUUCAGUUUAUUCUGCUUAUCCCUUAAUUUGGCUCAGACAAUAGCCAAGGUAUCUCCAGUGAUUUCCAAGGAGACUGUCAUGCCAGCUCUGUUGGAUGGAUGGACCCUCUAAGGGCCUAGCAGAUCACCUGAACCAUUCUGUGAUGAACCAAUGCACAAGAGGCAGCCCAGGCACCGGAUUCUCGGUCAACAAAUACAAGCAAGG